GACGAACGCUGGCGGCGUGCUUAACACAUGCAAGUCGAACGAAGAGCGAUGGAAGCUUGCUUCUAUCAAUCUUAGUGGCGAACGGGUGAGUAACGCGUAAUCAACCUGCCCUUCAGAGGGGGACAACAGUUGGAAACGACUGCUAAUACCGCAUACGGUCUAAUCUCGGCAUCGAGGAUAGAUGAAAGGUGGCCUCUACAUGUAAGCUAUCACUGAAGGAGGGGAUUGCGUCUGAUUAGCUAGUUGGAGGGGUAACGGCCCACCAAGGCGAUGAUCAGUAGCCGGUCUGAGAGGAUGAACGGCCACAUUGGGGCUGAGACACGGCCCAGACUCCUACGGGAGGCAGCAGUGGGGAAUCUUCCGCAAUGGACGAAAGUCUGACGGAGCAACGCCGCGUGAGUGAUGACGGCCUUCGGGUUGUAAAGCUCUGUUAAUCGGGACGAAAGGCCUUCUUGCGAAUAGUGAGAAGGAUUGACGGUACCGGAAUAGAAAGCCACGGCUAACUACGUG
rnacentral:rRNA from 1 species